CCUACGGGUGGCAGCAGUGGGGAAUAUUGGGCAAUGGGCGCAAGCCUGACCCAGCAACGCCGCGUGAAGGAAGAAGGCCCUCGGGUUGUAAACUUCUUUUUUCAGGGACGAAACAAAUGACGGUACCUGACGAAUAAGCCACGGCGAACUACGUGCCAGCAGCCGCGGCAAUACGUAGGUGGCAAGCGUUAUCCGGAUUUACUGGGUGUAAAGGGCGUGUAGGCGGGAGAGCAAGUCAGAUGUGAAAUUCCAGGGCUCAACCCUGGAACUGCAUGUGAAACUGUUUGUCUUGAGGGAUGGAGAGGCAGGCGGAAUUCCGUGGGUAGCGGUGAAAUGCGUAGAUAUACGGAGGAACACCAGUGGCGAAGGCGGCCUGCUGGACAUUAACUGACGCUGAGGCGAGAAAGCGUGGGGAGCAAACAGGAUUAGAUACCCGAGUAGUC
rnacentral:rRNA from 1 species